AUUGAACGCUGGCGGCAUGCUUUACACAUGCAAGUCGAACGGUAACAGGCCGCAAGGUGCUGACGAGUGGCGAACGGGUGAGUAAUGCAUCGGAACGUGCCCAGUCGUGGGGGAUAACGCAGCGAAAGCUGUGCUAAUACCGCAUACGAUCUAUGGAUGAAAGCGGGGGACCGUAAGGCCUCGCGCGAUUGGAGCGGCCGAUGUCAGAUUAGGUAGUUGGUGGGGUAAAGGCCUACCAAGCCGACGAUCUGUAGCUGGUCUGAGAGGACGACCAGCCACACUGGGACUGAGACACGGCCCAGACUCCUAUGGGAGGCAGCAGUGGGGAAUUUUGGACAAUGGGCGCAAGCCUGAUCCAGCAAUGCCGCGUGCAGGAAGAAGGCCUUCGGGUUGUAAACCGCUUUUGUCAGGGAAGAAACGCUCUGGGCUAAUACCCCGGGGUAAUGACGGUACCUGAAGAAUAAGCACCGGCUAACUACGUGCCAGCAGCCGCCGUAAAAC
rnacentral:rRNA from 1 species